GGAGUUAGCCGGUGCUUCUUCUGUGAGUGAUGUCCUUCCUGCCGGCUAUUAACCCGCAGGCCUUCUUCCUCACUGAAAGUGCUUUACAACCCGAAGGCCUUCUUCACACACGCGGCAUGGCUGGAUCAGGGUUGCCCCCAUUGUCCAAUAUUCCCCACUGCUGCCUCCCGUAGGAGUCUGGGCCGUGUCUCAGUCCCAGUGUGGCUGAUCAUCCUCUCAGACCAGCUACGGAUCGUCGCCUUGGUGAGCCGUUACCUCACCAACCAGCUAAUCCGACAUAGGCUCAUCCGAUAGCGCGAGGCCCGAAGGUCCCCCGCUUUCCCCCGUAGGGCGUAUGCGGUAUUAGCCUGGGUUUCCCCAGGUUAUCCCCCACUACCGGGCAGAUUCCUAUGUAUUACUCACCCGUCCGCCGCUCGCCACCAGGGAGCAAGCUCCCCGUGCUGCCGCUCGACUUGCAUGUGUUAGGCCUGCCGCCAGCGUUCAAUCUGAGCCAUGAUCAAACUCUGA
rnacentral:rRNA from 1 species